GAGAACUCCCAUACCAUGCUGAAAACACUGGUUCUCGUCCGAUUCCCGAAGUUAAGCAGAAUCGGGUCUGAAAAAAUUUACAGGGGCUCAAUGGAAAAAGAAAGAUGCGUGCUCCCGCACUCUAUCACCCCUAAACCUUAGUACUUGAAUGGGUGACCAUCUGGGAAUCCCAGAUGCAGUUUUUU
rnacentral:rRNA from 1 species